rnacentral:rRNA from 1 species
CCGGCGACCGGCGCACGGGUGAGUAACACGUAUGCAACCUGCCCGUCUCAGGGGGAUAAUCGUCGGAAACGGCGUCUAAUACCCCGUAUGAAGCUGGACGGCAUCGUCUGGUUUUGAAAGAAUAUCGGAGACGGACGGGCAUGCGGCGCAUUAGCUAGUUGGCGGGGUAACGGCCCACCAAGGCGACGAUGCGUAGGGGUUCUGAGAGGAAGGUCCCCCACACUGGUACUGAGACACGGACCAGACUCCUACGGAAGGCAGCAG